rnacentral:rRNA from 1 species
AUUGAACGCUGGCGGCAUGCCUUACACAUGCAAGUCGAACGGCAGCACGGGUGCUUGCACCUGGUGGCGAGUGGCGAACGGGUGAGUAAUACAUCGGAACGUACCUUAUCGUGGGGGAUAACGCAGCGAAAGCUGUGCUAAUACCGCAUACGCCCUGAGGGGGAAAGCGGGGGAUCGCAAGCCCUCGCGCGAUUAGAGCGGCCGAUGCCUGAUUAGCUUGUUGGUGGGGUAAAAGCCCACCAAGGCGACGAUCAGUAGCUGGUCUGAGAGGACGAUCAGCCACACUGGGACUGAGACACGGCCCAGACUCCUACGGGAGGCAGCAGUGGGGAAUUUUGGACAAUGGGGGCAACCCUGAUCCGGCAAUGCCGCGUGAGUGAAGAAGGCCUUCGGGUUGUAAAGCUCUUUUGUCAGGGAAGAAACACCGGCUCUAACACAGUCCGGGAAUGACGGUACCUGAAGAAUAAGCACCGGCUAACUACGUGCCAGCAGCCGCCGUAA